CGGAGUCUGGUUGCCCAGCUGGCUCACCCACUGGCCCGUGCUUCCUGUCCAUCAGACCCCACUCAGAUCCCACUUCCUAAGAGAAACCUUCCUAGACGCCCUGCCCCUGUGCUCCCAGGCAGCCCCCCUCCCCCACCUGCCCGGAGCUCUUGGCCUUGAGCGUAUCCUCCGUCAGCUCUUGCUCGGCGGUUCCCAUGUUGCUGUCAUGCAUUGACCUUAUAAGCGUUUUUGUCUCCCCAGAUGGACCCCGUCUUUUGGGACACCUCUAUGUCCCAUGCUGGACACAGGCAGCACCCGGUUGAUACUUCUGGCACGGACGAACAAACGAAGCACUCCAUAUUUCAAGCUUGCCAGGUUCCCACUUGAGAGACUAUCAAGAGGAAGAAAAAUUUUAACUCUCUUAAGGAAAAAAAAAAAAAAAGCACACUUUGGGCCAGAGAGGCCAUCUAGGUUAAUAUUACGGAAAGACUAACUUGUCCUGUGAGGCUGUGACGCGGACCAAAGCUAGAGGAGGUCCGACAGGCGGAGCCGCUCAGGAUGCCCGGUGGCCUUGGGAGGAGUCUCCGUCGCUGGUGUUCAAGCUCACAGGGGACAGUCUUGGGUCGGUGGGGGACUACAGACCCUCUCGCUGGCUACUUGGACAGGAGAACUUUUACAUUUUUCGAGUGCCCAGUCUUACAGGUCUGUGUGGUGAUCAGGAAGCAGGAGUGAUGGCCUAAGACUGAGGCCACGGCGGAGGCAGCUGGAAGCCCCCCGGGCGUUCGCGGCGUCAGAUUCAGCCCUUGUCAGAUACUUUCUGAGCAGCUGCUGGCCCAGGCCCUAAGUUCUGAGCAAUUAGCUGUGACCAAGAUCUUCAGAUCAUGACUUCUCAGGGGCUGAGAUCUGACCAAGGACAACUAAGAGCGAGUUGGAUGAGUUUCCCCCACGGACUCGUCUGGGUUGCUCAGGACAAGGGGUUUAACAUCUGAAUUCAGGAGGUCAGAGAAAGUCCUCCAGGAGAAAUGACCUCAAGGUACUAGGAUCUGCGAAGUGCAGAAGGGAAGAGAGUGGGCAGCUCUGAAAGUUCAAUUUGGGAGCAUCAAACCUGAGAGACUGUGGUUUUCUGAAAAUGCAGAUGAAAACGUUCUUAUGCAGUCUUCCUGUUUAAAAAAAUUUAAAGCAGAAUUUUUUUAAAAACGGAAACAAGGUCACUUGUGUAAUCCCGAGUUUAAAAGGUCUGGAAAGACGGGGACCCACACAGCAAACCAUGACCCUGGAGGAGCCAUCAACAGGUUUAAAGAAUGUCCCAGCCGACUUAAAAGCCGAGGAAGCACCAGCGGCGGGAAGAACGCUGCCCGCAGCAGAUUUCAAGAAACAACAAGUCAGAACACCAAAAAGAGAGAGAGAGGAAGAUUAUAACAGACGAAUCUCAUUCACAAAAAUAGAUGCAAAAUCCCUACUUGUUUGGUUUUUAAAUAGGCGAUUAGAGUGAGAAGUGUAUUACUACUAGGGCCCAUCCUGUCAGUCACUGUGGGCGUUUGUAAUAAAAACACACGCAUGGUUCGGCAUAUCUCCUAUUUGAAUGGAUUAAAUUCAGAGAAAAGUCUCCAUAAUCGCUGGCAAUUCAUUUGAUCAACUUGAACAUAUUUUACUGAUUUUAAUAAGGAACCUGUUCAUCACUGACCCACAGAAGUAUAGCUCCUGGACAGAAGAACACCAUUUAGGGGGACCUGGAUGGCUCAAUGGGUUAAAGCUUCUGCCUUCAGGUCAGGUCGUGAUCCCAGUGUCCUGGGAUUGAGCCCUGCAUUGGGCUCUCUGCUCAGCGGGGAGCCUGCUUCCCUCUCUCUCUCUGCCUGCCUUUCUGCCUACUUGUGAUCUCUGUCUGUCAAAUAAAUAAAUAAAUAAAUAAAAUCUUUUA